rnacentral:sRNA from 1 species
GGUGCAACCGAGCUGGGAAGCCUGUCAUCUGUGCUACUCAGAUGCUGGAGAGCAUGAUCAAGAAGCCCCGCCCCACUCGGGCUGAAGGCAGUGAUGUGGCCAAUGCAGUCCUGGAUGGAGCUGACUGCAUCAUGCUGUCUGGAGAAACAGCCAAAGGGGACUAUCCUCUGGAGGCUGUGCGCAUGCAGCACCUGGUGAGUUCUGGGGCCUGCCCCAUCCCCCGGGCUUCGGACUGGGCCUGGGAUGGAUGCAAGCUCUGGUGCAGAGCUUUUUAGGUUUCUCCAUCCUCUUAUGCACAGCCUUUCAUUAUCCUCCAAGUUACAGCAGCAAGAGGGUGGGGGUGGAAGUGGAGGUGGCUUUUUUUUUUCCUCCUGUUCUGCAUUCCUGCCUACACCCCCACCCCUCCUUUUCCUUCUGCCCUGGAGACAUCCUCUUUCGUUGGACACCACACAGUUUAUUUCACUUCUGACUUCAAGGUUGUGAAUUCUUCCCAUGGCUUAAGUCCUGGGAUAUUUCUGCAGUGAAAGGAGGUCUUGUACCUCUUUCUCAGAGUCAGAAGUUCUGAGUACCUUUGCCCUAUUCUGAAAAGGGCUAGGGACUCCUGCUCCCAGCUGCCCUCUUCCUUUGGCUUCCAAUUCAGUUCCCCCUGCCCCGCAUCCUGCA